UUUGCACAUUUGUGCUGAUGUCACUCUCAGCUGAUUUCACUUUCAUUUCUAAACUUGCCGUUGGCCCAGGGCUUCACAGAAAGUAAACAACUUUUGUCUUUCCCCUGAACACACACUUCACCCCCGCUGAAGCCAACAAACUGAGUGAUUUAAAGAUCAGGACCUCAACUGAAGAUAAUGAGAAAUGAAGAAAAUAACACCACAGUUGCUAAAGAGUCAGUUAAAGGUUAAUAUCAGACUUAGAAGUUUUCAGAAGAAACAAGUACAUAGUCUAAAAUUUAUCUCCUGAGCUCAUCCUCUAUUGGGUCAUGAAAUGAAGAGGAACAAGAUGGUCUUCAGAACAUAAAACCCUAUAUUCUUCCUGGGGGAAAACCUUUCAAAUCAUAGACAUUCCUCAAAUACACAGACCACCUCAACCCUCCCAUGUAGGUGGCCACUCCUUUCUCUGUGCCUCCUUGGAACCCUGUACAGACUCUGUCAUUGCACUUAUAAUGAAAAACUUGUUUAUUUGCUUUUCUCCCCUGAGAGCUGUGAGAAAAUUAGAAUAAGUUCACAAGAGCCAAAGUACGACCUCGAGUAUAUCCCACCUGAAUUUAGAGACCAUCUCAAGAAUAGAUUUAACACGUCGAACACUAAUAACUGAAGACCAGAUGAAUUGUGGAAGGACUUCAAGGACAUCAUACACGAAGAAAGCAAGAGGUCAUUAAAAAAUAUGAAAGAAAGAAAAGACCAAAAUGGAUGUCAGAAGAGACUCUGAAACUUGCUCUUGAACUUCGAGUAGCUAAAGCAAAUGGAAGAAAUGAUGAAGUCUUAACUCAAAGAGUUGAACAGAAGAUUUCAAAGGGUGGCUUGAGAGGACAAAGUAAAGUAUUAUAAUAACAGGUGCAAAGAUCUGGAGUUAGAACCAAAAGGGAAGAACAGGCUCAGCAUUUCUCAAGCUCAAAGAACUGAAGAACAAUUUCAAGCCUUGAGUUGCAAUAUUGAAGGAUUCCACAGGGAAAAUCAAAAGAAGAUAGAAGGAAUACACAGAGUCAUUAUAUCAAAAGGAAAUGGUUGAUGUUCAUCCAUUUUGGGAGGUAGCACAUGAUCAGAAAGCAACUGUACUGAAGGAAGAGGUCCAAGCUGCACUGGAGGCAUUGGCAAAAAACAAGGCUCAAGGAAUUGAUGUAAUAUCAAUAGAGAUGUUUCAACAAAUGAAUGUAGCACUAGAAGUGCUCACUUGUCUAUGCCAAGAAAUUUGGAAGUCAGCUACCUGGCCAACCGACUGGAAGAAAUCCAUAUUUAUGCCUAUUCCAAAGAAAGGUGAUCCAAUGGAAUUCACAAAUUAUCAAGUAAUAUCAUUAAUAUCAAAUGCAAGUAAAUUUUUGCUGAAGAUCAUUCAAAAACAGCUGCAGCAGUGCUUUGAUUGGAAACUGCCAGAAAUUCAAGCCAGAUUCAGAAGAGGACAUGCGACCAGGGAUAUCAUUGCUGACAUCAGAUGGAUCCUGGCUGAAAGCAGAGAAUAUCAGAAAGAUGUUUACCUGUGUUUUAUUGACUACAAAAAGGCAUUCGACUGUGUGGAUCAUAACAAAUCAUGGAUAAAAUUGUGAAGAAUGGGAAUUCUAGAGCUCAUGAGGAACCUGUACAUAGACCAAGAGGCAGUUGUUUGAACAGAACAAGGGGAUACUGGGUGGUUUAAAGUCAGGAAAGGUGUGCAUCAGGGUCGUGUCCUUUCACCACGCUUAUUCAGUCUGUAUAAAAAAGAAGCUGGACUAUAUGAAGAAGAACAUGGCAUCAGAAUUAGAGGAAGACUCAUUAACAACCUGCAUUAUGCAGAUGACACAGCCUUGCUUGCUGAAAAUGAGGAGGACUUGAAGCACUUACUGAUGAAGAUCGAAGACCACUGCCUUCAGUAUGGAUUACACCUCAACAUAAAGAAAACAAAAAUCCUCACAACUGGACCAAUAAGCAACAUCAUGAUAAACAGAGAAAAGAUUGAGGUCAUCAAGGAUUUCAUUUUACUUAUAUCCACAAUCAACAGCCAUGGAAGCAGCAGUCAAGAAAUCAAAAGGCGCAUUGCAUUGGGCAAAUCUGCUGCAAAAGACCUCUUCAAAGUGUUAAAAGGCGAAGAUGUCACUUCAAGGACUAAGAACACCUGUUCCAAGUUAUGGUGUUUUCAGUCACCACAUACACAUGGGAAAGCUGGGCAAUGAAUAAGGAAGACCAAAGAGGAAUUGAUGCCUUUGAAUUAUGGUGUUGGUGAAAAAUAUUCAAUAUACCAUGGACUGCCAAAAGAAGGAACAAGUCUGUCUUGGAAGAAGUACAGCCAGAAUGCUCCUUAGAAGCGAGGAUGGCGAGACUUCUUCUCAUGUACUUUGAACAUGUUAUCAGGAGGGUUCAGUCCCUGGAGGAGAUUAUGCUUGAUAAAAUAGAGGGUAAGUGAAAAAGAGGAGGACCCUGAAUGAGAUGGACUGACACGGUGGCUGCAACAACGGGGUCCAAAAGCAACGAUUGUGGGGAUGGUGCAGGACCCGGCAGUGUUUUGUCCUGUUGUGAACGGUGAUACAACAAACGUUGAAGAUGAGCAGAAACAGGAUCCCUCAUACAUUGUUAGUGAAAACGUAAGAUGACGUAGAGCCAGCUAUUAAGUUCUGCUAAUUGAUCAGUUGUUUUCAACAAUGCCCUGGGGCAUAAAUUGCUGUAUAGGCCAAUUCAAUGAAAUUAAUGCUCAUUUGAAAAGAUAGUUCCAGAGGUUAGUGUUAUGAUUUAUUCUGACCCCAGAUGGGAUCCUUCCAGCUGUCUCUUGUUUUCUCUGGCAAACUAACCGGCCUACAGUUUAGCCUACAUCUUCGAUAAAUCAACCAAUCUCCUCCCAGUUGUUUCUCAUCACAACAGCCACUGUUUCUGAGAGGACCCUUGGAUUUGAGCUCUCCACGUCCUGUUGCAAGUGGGCUGUAUCCUUUGGGAAGAGAUUAGGAGCUACCUGUUUUAUGGUCUGCUUCCUCCCUAUCCCAAGGCAAAAUCUCUGAGCCAGGGUCCUGGAGCUGGGGGUAGGGACAGUGAGGCUCUUCUCUCUGAGAAGUGACACCCUUGUGUUUAGGAGCUGAACUCAAGGUAAUUUUGUAGUUUUAUAAACAGUAAAUAAGAAUGACCAAAUUUUAACCAUUAACUCUUCCUGGGGAAAAACAAGGUAAGAGAAGGUAAGAGGAAAUAACUUAUCAUUCUCUGCAAUCAUUUUUUUCAGUAAUUGUUAACAAUGAUCAAUAAGAUUUACCUCUUGUUCUUCUCUGGCAUUUUCAUGGAUUUCUAUAGUAGAAUUUCUUUCCUUCUUUGUUUUCAGAUGUUUUUUGGUUUUUAGCUAGAUAGAAGAACCAGAUAUAAAAUCAUUAUUUAAUCAAAACAUCAAAACAAGUAUAUACACAGACUUAAAACUACCUUGGAACUUCCAUUUCUAGGAAGUGUGGAAUGGAGUUUACUUCUCCUGGAAUCCAAACUUCUGAGCUCCAUGGAGGCUGGGGUGACCUACCCAAGCCACGGACUUGAGACGAUCUUUGAGCCUUUGGCCUUGAGGAAACUAGUUUCCUAAAAGUUACCUUACCUUUUAGUCAAACAAUAGUCUAGAGUGUUUUGCCUCAGGCAUUGUGCUCUUUUGAAGAAUUACCUAUGCGCAGUCAGUCUCAAGAAACAGAAGUUCCAAGGUCAGACUAGAAACUAAGUGUUUAGGGUAAAUUGUUAUUGUGAAAGCACUGUUCUGGCCCCAUUUCCAUAGCAAUGUUGAUAAGAUAGGGUAUAAGAAUCAUUGGAGGGUCUCUCAACUUCAGGACAUUUUUGACUCCCUAGUUGAAAUGUUACCUGGAUUUGCAAAUCACAUAUUAAAAAUACUUCAAUCAAUUUCUAUUUUUGGCUUAAUAUGAUUUUUGUUUGAACAGAGGAUAAGUAAUUUUCCCUAUUCUGUCUAAAUACAACUAAAAAUUCUGGACAUCACAUAAUAAAGUAAUAUAAAAGACUCUGAAAGGUGGAAAGAAGAAGGCAGACUGACUAGAAACUUUAGGAUCAGAGGAGUGACACAGUGAUGCAUUCCCUAGGUUUUCUUUUUGUCUCAUACACCCCAGAUUUACCGCAGGAGAAGCUGGCAACCCAUAAAUACCAAUGAGUGCAGGCAGACAAACAAACAAACACUCCAACAAAAGCUUCUUUUCUCUGUCCAAGGACCAAAAAGCAGGCAGCUUGGAUAGAACACUUUUAGAUAAUAACUACUUUACUUCAACUAAAUACCACCAAAAAACUGUGGCCCCACCCAUGCCAACCAAGGCUGAAUGGGGAACUGUAUUCGUUUCCUAGGGCAGCUGUAAUGAAUUAUCACAAACUGGGUAAAAUAACAUAAAUUUGAUCUCUCACAUUCCUGAGGCUAGAGGUUUGAAAUCAAGGUAUUGGCAGGGUCAUGCUCCCUCAGAAGGCUCCAUUCUCCUUUUUAGCUUCUGGUGGUUGCCGGUAAUCCUUGAUGUCCUCAGUUUGUAACCGCAUCACUCCAAUCUUUUCCUCCAUUGUCACAUAGGCUUCUUCUCUGCUGUCUUGGUCAUCUAGUGCUGCUAUAACAGAAAUACCACAAGCGGACGGCUUUAACAAAGAGAAAUUUAUUCUCUCACAGUCUAGGAGGCUAGUAGUACAAAUUCAGGGUGCCAGCUCCAGGGUAAGGCUUUCUGUCUCUGUCGGCUCUAGAGGAAGGUCCUUGUCAUCAAUCUUCCCCAAUCAAGGAACUUCUCAGUGCAGGGACCCCAGAUCUAAAGGAUAUAUUAUUCUCCUGGCUCUUGUUUCUUGGUGGGAUAGGUCCCCUUGUCUCUCUGCUCGCUUUUCUCUUUUAUAUCUCAAAAGAGAUUGACUUAAGACACAACCUAAUCUUGUAGAGUGAGUCCUGCCUCAUUAACAUAACCGCCGAUAAUCCCACCUUAUUAACAUCAUAGAAGUAGGAUUUACAACACACAGGAAAAUCACAUCAGAUGAUGAAAUGGUGGACAAUCAUGCAAUACUGGGAAUCAUGGCCUAGCCAAGUUGACAGACGUUUUUGGGGGGGACAUAAUUUAAUCCAUAACACCUAUGCAUGUGUCUCUUCUCUGUGUCUCUGUCUGUGUCCAAAUUUCCCUCUUCUUAUAAGAACACCAAUCCUUGGAUUUAAGGGCCAUCCUAAUCCAGUAUAACUUCACUUUAACUUGAUUACAUCUACAACGACUUUAUUUCCAAGUAAAUUCAAAUUAAGGAUAUAGCUGUCUCUUUGAUGGCACUUAAUGAUUGCUACCUCCUGGUAUUCAUGCCCCGUGUAAUCUUCUCUCAUUGACUAUGGGCUGAAUCUACUGAUUCACUUCUAAUGAAUUGAAUAUGGCAAAAGUGAUGGGAUGUUGCUUCUGAGAUUAGGUUACAAAUACUGUAGCUUCCAUUUUGUGUGCCCUCUUUUGUUCUCUUGCUUGUUUGCUCAGAUGGAAUCCAGCUGGGUUCCAUCAUUGUGAGGAACUAGGAAGGCCCACGGUCAACAGCCAGAGAGGAACUAAGACCAUCAGUUCAGCAACCUGUGAAGAAAUGAAUCCUAUGAACAACCAAAUGAGUGAGCUUGGAAGAGGAUCCUUCCUCAAACAAUCCAGCAAAUGAGACUGUAGCCUGGUCAACACCUUCACUGCAGUCUUGAGAGAAACCUUGAAGUAGAAGCAUCCUGCUAAGCAAUGCCCAGAUACCUGACCUACCGAAACUGUGAGGUAAUAAAUGUUUGUGGUUUUAAGCUACUAUUGCUUGGGGUAAUUUGUUACACAGCCAUAAAAUAUUAACACAAUAUUCUUUGUUAAGACCUUGGGAAUUUUUUUUAAGGUAACAUCUAAUAGACUCUAGCAGCUGAACAGAUGUCUCUGAAGAAGGAGCGUCGGGAAUGUUAUUGUUGUUAGGUGCCAUCUAGUUGGUUCCAAGUCAUAACGACCCUCCGUACAACAGAAUGAAACACUGCCCGGCCCUGCACCAUCCUCACAAUUGUUGUUAUGCUUGAGCCCCUUGUUGCAACCACUGUGCCAAUACAUCUCAUUGAGGGUCUUCCUCUUUUUCGCUGACCUCUGCUUUACCAAGCAUGAUGUCCUUCUCCAGGGACUGGUCCCUCCUGAUAACAUGUCCAAAGUACAUGAGAUGAAGUCUUGCCAUCCAUACUUCUAAGGAACAUUCUGGCUGUACUUCUUUCAAGACAGAUUUGUUUGUUCUUCUGGCAGUCCAUGGUAUAUUCAAUAUUCAUCACCAACACCAUAUAAUUCAAAGGCUUCAAUUCUUCUUCUGUCUUCCUUACUUAUUGUCCAGGCAUGGGAGAUGGAAACAGAAUGUGUGGCAUAUUACCUCCAUGAACAACUCCCUCCUUUGCCAUGAGACCAGAAGAAUUGGAAGGUGCCUGACUACUAUUACAGAACAUUUUGAUCAAAGAUUCCAUAGGAGUAUCCUGCCUGAUCAAAAGGGGAAAAUGUAGAAUGGAAUUUCAAAUUCUCAUGCAAUCCAGAGGCUGGAUGAACCUCUGAAACUAUUGCCCUGAGAUAAUCUUUAAACCUUAAACCAAAAAUAUUUCCUGAAGUCUCCUUUAAAUUAAACAAUGUUGUUUGUUGUUAGGUGCUGUUGAGUUGGUUCUGACUCAUAGCAAGCCAACGUACAACAGAAUGAAGCAUCGCCCAGUCCUGCGCCAUCCUCACAAUCCUUGUUAUGCUGGAGCCCAUUGUUGUAGCCACUAUGUCAAUGCAUCUUGUUGAGGGUCUUCCUCUUUUCCAAAUCUAACAGUAGGUUAGCUUAAUUAGUAAAGAACUUCUGUUUUCAGCCUUGUGUUCUUUCAAGAACUAUGUAUAUGGGACCAAAUUGGCAACAGCAACUUGAAAGAUGGGCUAUAAAACUGAGGGGGCAGUGAGUUUAUGUUAGUGGGGGAGGAACAGCUUGGAAAAGGAGGGUGGGAAUGGUUGCCCAACUCAAAGGAUGUAGUCAUUGUCACUGAAUUCCACAUGAAGAAAUUGUGGGUUUAUGUUCUGCUGUGUACAUUCUCAACAACAAAAUAAAAUUAUCUAUUUUAAAAAAGCCUCUAAAGUUAGAAAAUUCUAUGAUUAAAGAUAUGGUACAUAAUCAGGAAAUAACAAUUAUUGUUGUUAAAUAAAUGUUGUUAAUAUAUAUGUUGAUAUUAUAUUAGUAAUAAUUAAAGGGAAUUAUUGUUGUGAAAUAAACGAGCAAUUAAUUAUACAACUGUCUGAUCAUUAGUCACAAUAAGAAGACUACCUAUUUAGCACAUCUAUAUCAUAAGCAGAAAUGUUCAAUCAUACCUGAGAAGUUAACUUGAGAAGAUAAGGCUGAGAGUCAUUGGAUUCAGAACUGUCAGAGCCUCGGCUACUACAAAAAAUAUUAACAAUUUAUUUCAGUUUACAGAAUGUUUUGGGUUGCGCUUUUAAAUUUCAACUGUUGCUUUUAAUUUUUUUUUUUAAUCAUAUUGGAAUUGGUAGAAAUAGUUCUUAUAAUAAGAAGGCUGUUUGCAAACAGAGGUUUAAAUGUUUGGAUGUUCAGACAGCUUAGAAGCAGAGGUCUUCUUGUUGAAUGUAUGGAGAGAGAUGACAAGUUGGGCCAAUGGAGUGUAAGCUUCAGAGAAGUGGGCAUUUUCAUCCAUCUGGCUCACUGCUGUAUCACCAGAGUGAAAAUAGUGCCUGGCACAUAGUAGGCACUCAGAGAAUAUUGGUUAAUAAAUGAAUGAAUAAGUGCUAUAUUCAGCAGAUUCCUAGCUCUCAGGGGUAUCAUUAGCUCUUAAAAUUCAUUAUUUGAACACACCACUUUCAGUGAAGGACAGGACAUCCAGAAAGAAGCUCAAUAAAGAUACAGAAGAUCUAAAUGCCACAAUAAACCAACAUGACCUCGUAGACAUGUACAGAACACUCCACCCAGCAGCCGUCAAGUAUACUUUCUUUUCUAGUGCUCGUGGAACAUUCUCUAGAAUAGACCACAUAUUAGGUCAUAAAGCAAGCCUUAGCAGAAUCCAGAACACUGAAAUAUUACAAAGCAUCUCCUCUGACCACAACGCCAUAAAAGUAGAAAUCAAUAACAGAAAAAGCAGGGAAAAGAAACCAAACACUUGGAAACUUAACAAUACCCUGCUCAAAAAAAGAUUGGACUAUAAAAGACAUUAAGGAUGGAAUAAAGAAAUUCAUAGAAUCCUGUGAGAAUGAAAACACUUCCUAUGAAAACCUUUGGGACACAGCGAAAGCAGUGCUCAGAGGUCAAUUUAUAUCAAUAAAUGCACACAUCCAAAAAGAAGA